CUUCAGCCUCUAUUACGGGUCCUGCCCGUCUUUGGCCGCUCCAUGGAUCUGUGGCUCCUGUAUCCCACAGGAGACUUGAGGGCCAGGCUGACCCUCACUCUCACGAGUCCCAGGCCAAAGCUGCUGCAAGAUGGGGCUAACAAAAUGCUGGAUUAGCUGUCUUCCUGGGCAAGAAAGGAAGGAGGGAGCUGAAAAUUGCUCAUUUCACUGCUCUGUCGUUGGGUGCACCGUUAGAGGUACGAACAACGAUACGUUUACUUCAUAAACUCACUUGUCCCCCCCACCCCACUCCCUUAAG
rnacentral:lncRNA from 1 species